GACGAACGCUGGCGGCGUGCCUAGCACAUGCAAGUCGAGCGGGGACUUGGGAGCUUGCUCCUGGGUUCUAGCGGCGGACGGGUGAGUAACGCGUGAGCAACCUGCCUUUCACAGGGGGAUAACGCAUCGAAAGAUGUGCUAAUACCGCGUAAGACCACAGCACCGCAUGGUGCAGGGGUCAAAGGAGCAAUCCGGUGAGAGAUGGGCUCGCGUCCGAUUAGCUAGUUGGUGAGAUAACAGCCCACCAAGGCGACGAUCGGUAGCCGACCUGAGAGGGUGAUCGGGCCACAUUGGGAACUGAGAGACGGUCCAGACUCCUACGGGAGCAGCAGGUGGGGAAUAUUGGGGCAAGUGGGCGAAAGCCUGACCCAGCAACGCCGCGUGAGGGAAGAAGGGUUUCGGC
rnacentral:rRNA from 1 species